rnacentral:rRNA from 1 species
GAAACGACUGCUAAGACUGGAUAGGAGACAAGAAGGCAUCUUCUUGUUUUUAAAAGACCUAGCAAUAGGUAUGCUUAGGGAGGAGCUUGCGUCACAUUAGUUAGUUGGUGGGGUAAAGGCCUACCAAGACUAUGAUGUGUAGCCGGGCUGAGAGGUUGAACGGCCACAUUGGGACUGAGACACGGCCCAAACUCCUACGGGAGGCAGCAGUAGGGAAUUUUCGGCAAUGGAGGAAACUCUGACCGAGCAACGCCGCGUGAACGAUGAAGUAUUUCGGUACGUAAAGUUCUUUUAUUAGGGAAGAAUAAAUGAUGGAAAAAUCAUUCUGACGGUACCUAAUGAAUAAGCCCCGGCUAACUAUGUGCCAGCAGCCGCGGUAAUACAUAGGGGGCAAGCGUUAUCCGGAAUUAUUGGGCGUAAAGGGUGCGUAGGCGGUUAAAUAAGUUUAUGGUCUAAGUGCAAUGCUCAACAUUGUGAUGCUAUAAAAACUGUUUAGCUAGAGUAAGAUAGAGGCAAGUGGAAUUCCAUGUGUAGUGGUAAAAUGCGUAAAUAUAUGGAGGAACACCAGUAGCGAAAGGCGGCUUGCUGGGUCUUUACUGACGCUGAGGCACGAAAGCGUGGGGAGCAAACAGGAUUAGAUACCCUGGUAGUCCACGCCCGUAAACGAUGAGUACUAAACGUUGGGUAAAACCAGUGUUGAAGUUAACACAUUUAAGUACUCCGCCUGAGUAGUACGUACGCAAGUAUGAAACUUUAAAGGAAUUUGACGGGACUCCGCACAAGCGGUGGAUCAUGUUUGUUUAAUUCGAAGGUACCCGAAAAACCUCACCAGGUCUUGACAUGCUUCUGCAAAGCUGUAGAAACACAGUGGAGGUUAUCAGUUGCACAGGUGGUGCAUGGUUGUCGUCAGCUCGUGUCGUGAGAUGUUGGGUUAAGUCCCGCAACGAGCGCAACCCUUAUUGUUAGUUACCAGCACGUAAUGGUGGGGACUUUAGCAAGACUGCCAGUGAUAAAUUGGAGGAAGGUGGGGACGACGUCAAAUCAUCAUGCCCCUUAUGACCUGGGCUACAAACGUGAUACAAUGGCUGUUACAAAGGGUAGCUGAAGCGCAAGUUUUUGGCGAAUCUCAAAAAAACAGUCUCAGUUCGGAUUGAAGUCUGCAACUCGACUUCACGAAGUUGGAAUCGCUAGUAAUCGCGAAUCAGCAUGUCGCGGUGAAUACGUUCACGGGGUUUGUACACACCGCCCGUCA